UACGGAGGAUCCAAGCGUUAUCCGGAUUUAUUGGGUUUAAAGGGUGCGUAGGCCGGCCUGUUAAGGUCAAGGGGUGAAAGACGGGUAGCUCAACUAUCGCAGUGCCCUUGAUACUGAUGGGGCUUUGAAUUGACUAGAGGGUAGGCGGGAAUGUGACAAGUAGCGGUGAAAAUGCAUAGAUAUGUCACAGAACACCCGAU
rnacentral:rRNA from 1 species